rnacentral:rRNA from 1 species
GACGAACGCUGGCGGCGUGCUUAACACAUGCAAGUCCAACGAUGAACCCGGAGCUUGCUCCGGUGGAUUAGUGGCGAACGGGUGAGUAACACGUGAGUAACCUGCCCUUGACUCUGGGAUAACUGCGGGAAACUGUAGCUAAUACCGGAUACGACCCUCGGCGGCAUCGCCAGGGGGUGGAAAGAAUUUCGGUCAAGGAUGGACUCGCGGCCUAUCAGCUAGUUGGUGAGGUAGUGGCUCACCAAGGCGACGACGGGUAGCCGGCCUGAGAGGGCGACCGGCCACACUGGGACUGAGACACGGCCCAGACUCCUACGUGAGGCAGCAGUGGGGAAUAUUGCGCAAUGGGCGAAAGCCUGACGCAGCAACGCCGCGUGCGGGAUGACGGCCUUCGGGUUGUAAACCGCUUUCAGCAGGGAAGAAGCCGCAAGGUGACGGUACCUGCAGAAGAAGCCACGGCUAACUACGUGCCAGCCGCCGCAGUAA